ACUAAAUAUCGAACAUAUUCUUA
rnacentral:miRNA from 12 species